AUUGAACGCUGGCGGCAGGCUUAACACAUGCAAGUCGAGCGGAGAUGAGGUGCUUGCACCUUAUCUUAGCGGCGGACGGGUGAGUAAUGCUUAGGAAUCUGCCUAUUAGUGGGGGACAACAUUCCGAAAGGAAUGCUAAUACCGCAUACGUCCUACGGGAGAAAGCAGGGGAUCUUCGGACCUUGCGCUAAUAGAUGAGCCUAAGUCGGAUUAGCUAGGUGGUGGGGUAAAGGCCUACCAAGGCGACGAUCUGUAGCGGGUCUGAGAGGAUGAUCCGCCACACUGGGACUGAGACGCGGCCCAGACUCCUACGGGAGGCAGCAGUGGGGAAUAUUGGACAAUGGGGGGAACCCUGAUCCAGCCAUGCCGCGUGUGUGAAGAAGGCCUUAUGGUUGUAAAGCACUUUAAGCGAGGAGGAGGCUACUGAGACUAAUACUCUUGGAUAGUGGACGUUACUCGCAGAAUAAGCACCGGCUAACUCUGUGCCAGCAGCCGCGGUAACAC
rnacentral:rRNA from 1 species